rnacentral:rRNA from 1 species
ACACGUGGUAUCCUGUCUGAAUAUGGGGGGACCAUCCUCCAAGGCUAAAUACUCCUGACUGACCGAUAGUGAACCAGUACCGUGAGGGAAAGGCGAAAAGAACCCCGGCGAGGGGAGUGAAAAAGAACCUGAAACCGUGUACGUACAAGCAGUGGGAGCACCUUCGGGUGUGACUGCGUACCUUUUGUAUAAUGGGUCAGCGACUUAUAUUCUGUAGCAAGGUUAACCGUAUAGGGGAGCCGCAGGGAAACCGAGUCUUAACUGGGCGUUAAGUUGCAGGGUAUAGACCCGAAACCCGGUGAUCUAGCCAUGGGCAGGUUGAAGGUUGGGUAACACUAACUGGAGGACCGAACCGACUAAUGUUGAAAAAUUAGCGGAUGACUUGUGGCUGGGGGUGAAAGGCCAAUCAAACCGGGAGAUAGCUGGUUCUCCCCGAAAGCUAUUUAGGUAGCGCCUCGUGAACUCAUCUUCGGGGGUAGAGCACUGUUUCGGCUAGGGGGUCAUCCCGACUUACCAACCCGAUGCAAACUACGAAUACCGAAGAAUGUUAUCACGGGAGACACACGGCGGGUGCUAACGUCCGUCGUGAAGAGGGAAACAACCCAGACCGCCAGCUAAGGUCCCAAAGUCAUGGUUAAGUGGGAAACGAUGUGGGAAGGCACAGACAGCCAGGAUGUUGGCUUAGAAGCAGCCAUCAUUUAAAGAAAGCGUAAUAGCUCACUGGUCGAGUCGGCCUGCGCGGAAGAUGUAACGGGGCUAAACCAUGCACCGAAGCUGCGGCAGCGACACUAUGUGUUGUUGGGUAGGGGAGCGUUCUGUAAGCCUGCGAAGGUGUGCUGUGAGGCAUGCUGGAGGUAUCAGAAGUGCGAAUGCUGACAUAAGUAACGAUAAAGCGGGUGAAAAGCCCGCUCGCCGGAAGACCAAGGGUUCCUGUCCAACGUUAAUCGGGGCAGGGUGAGUCGACCCCUAAGGCGAGGCCGAAAGGCGUAGUCGAUGGGAAACAGGUUAAUAUUCCUGUACUUGGUGUUACUGCGAAGGGGGGACGGAGAAGGCUAUGUUAGCCGGGCGACGGUUGUCCCGGUUUAAGCAUGUAGGCUGAUUGUCCAGGCAAAUCCGGAUAAUCAAGGCUGAGGUGUGAUGACGAGGCACUACGGUGCUGAAGUAACAAAUGCCCUGCUUCCAGGAAAAGCCUCUAAGCAUCAGGUAACAUCAAAUCGUACCCCAAACCGACACAGGUGGUCAGGUAGAGAAUACCAAGGCGCUUGAGAGAACUCGGGUGAAGGAACUAGGCAAAAUGGUGCCGUAACUUCGGGAGAAGGCACGCUGGUGUGUAGGUGAAGUCCCUGCGGAUGGAGCUGAGACCAGUCGAAGAUACCAGCUGGCUGCAACUGUUUAUUAAAAACACAGCACUGUGCAAACACGAAAGUGGACGUAUACGGUGUGACGCCUGCCCGGUGCCGGAAGGUUAAUUGAUGGGGUUAUCCGUAAGGAGAAGCUCUUGAUCGAAGCCCCGGUAAACGGCGGCCGUAACUAUAACGGUCCUAAGGUAGCGAAAUUCCUUGUCGGGUAAGUUCCGACCUGCACGAAUGGCGUAAUGAUGGCCAGGCUGUCUCCACCCGAGACUCAGUGAAAUUGAACUCGCUGUGAAGAUGCAGUGUACCCGCGGCAAGACGGAAAGACCCCGUGAACCUUUACUAUAGCUUGACACUGAACAUUGAGCCUUGAUGUGUAGGAUAGGUGGGAGGCUUUGAAGCGUGGACGCCAGUCUGCGUGGAGCCAACCUUGAAAUACCACCCUUUAAUGUUUGAUGUUCUAACGUUGGCCCCUGACCGGGGUUGCGGACAGUGUCUGGUGGGUAGUUUGACUGGGGCGGUCUCCUCCCAAAGCGUAACGGAGGAGCACGAAGGUUAGCUAAUCCUGGUCGGACAUCAGGAGGUUAGUGCAAUGGCAUAAGCUAGCUUGACUGCGAGCGUGACGGCGCGAGCAGGUGCGAAAGCAGGUCAUAGUGAUCCGGUGGUUCUGAAUGGAAGGGCCAUCGCUCAACGGAUAAAAGGUACUCCGGGGAUAACAGGCUGAUACCGCCCAAGAGUUCAUAUCGACGGCGGUGUUUGGCACCUCGAUGUCGGCUCAUCACAUCCUGGGGCUGAAGUAGGUCCCAAGGGUAUGGCUGUUCGCCAUUUAAAGUGGUACGCGAGCUGGGUUUAGAACGUCGUGAGACAGUUCGGUCCCUAUCUGCCGUGGGCGCUGGAGAAUUGAGGGGGGCUGCUCCUAGUACGAGAGGACCGGAGUGGACGCAUCACUGGUGUUCGGGUUGUCAUGCCAAUGGCA